rnacentral:misc_RNA from 1 species
GAUGAAGAACGUAGUGAAAUGCGAUAAGUAGUGUGAAUUGCAGAAUUCAGUGAAUCAUCGAAUCUUUGAACGCACAUUGCGCCUUCUAGUAUUCUGGGAGGCAUGCCUGUUUGAGCGUCAUUAAACCUCUCUCAAGUAUGAUUACUUGGAUGUGAAGGAAGAGUACCUUAAACUUAAGGAGUGUUCUCCUUUGAAAUUGAUUAGCAGAUGGUAAUGUUAUUAAAUCCCUGAUGUUGUAAGAAAUAACAGUGGUUUUGUAGACUAUUAUCUAGCUUUAAAUUAUAAUUUUUAUUAUGGUUGACCUCAAGUCAGGUAAGGAUACCCGCUGAACUUAAGCAUAUCAAUAAGCGGAGGA